UAGGGAAUCUUCCGCAAUGGACGAAAGUCUGACGGAGCAACGCCGCGUGAGUGAUGAAGGCUUUCGGGUCGUAAAACUCUGUUGUUAGGGAAGAACAAGUACGAGAGUAACUGCUCGUACCUUGACGGUACCUAACCAGAAAGCCACGGCUAACUACGUGCCAGCAGCCGCGGUAAUACGUAGGUGGCAAGCGUUAUCCGGAAUUAUUGGGCGUAAAGCGCGCGCAGGCGGUUUCUUAAGUCUGAUGUGAAAGCCCACGGCUCAACCGUGGAGGGUCAUUGGAAACUGGGGAACUUGAGUGCAGAAGAGAAAAGCGGAAUUCCACGUGUAGCGGUGAAAUGCGUAGAGAUGUGGAGGAACACCAGUGGCGAAGGCGGCUUUUUGGUCUGUAACUGACGCUGAGGCGCGAAAGCGUGGGGAGCAAACAGG
rnacentral:rRNA from 5 species